GCUGGGAGAGCUACGAGUCUUUACACUGGGAAAACCACCGCAGACGAAACCGCUGUUGUCACCGUCACGUUGGCGAGCAUCGCCUCGGAUUUCCGCAACCUCUCGCGCGCUGUGGCGUCGGGUGAAAGUUAUCUGUUUGCAAACCCUACCACUGGGCACCCGCCCCUCCUAGAUAAGCUGUCAGACGCAAGCAAGGCAGCUAACCAAAUAAGAGGGGUGGGGGGGUAACCUCCUCGUAAACGGAUGCAAAAUAAGAAAUCUCGCUUGGCAAAUCUCCUAUCUGGCAGCGCUGAACCAGGCGUACGCAGGCACGCGGCACAGCCACCCCCUCAGCUCCGGGCUCGUCGCCGGCAGGCUCAGCGCUGCUUCCCAUAUGCCACCGAUACUGCCCAUUCAUAAAACCCUGCACCUCAGUCACAUCUCUGCAGAGAGGCUGUUUACAGAAAUAGUCAGGCAUCGAGCCCUGCCUGCCAAGGAUUUUCCACAAGCCAGGAAGCCUCCAGGAGUCGUGAGAAAAGGCGUGAAGCGGCCGUUUGGCACGUUCGGCACCAAGCGCCUGACCCGCGCUCGGAGCAUCCCGCAAGCAAAGCUCCCAGAGCCUCUGGAAGGCGGCGGCACAAGGCGGGGGAACAGUUUCUCCCUUAGGAAGGGGGAAAAAAGGGGGAGAAAGAAAAUGGGAAAGUUCCGACCAUGCGGCAUCCACAAAGGCUCCUCCGCUCAGCAGAGGCUGAUGGAAUCCCUGCUUUCAGAUACAGUUUCUUACAGUAGCCUGGUAAAUUAAAUUAAAGCUAUUUACUCUGCAUUUACAGGCUUACAAAUAAAUCUCAGGAAGCAUUUUACUGAAGGAGGCAGGGAGAGGAGGAGAGGGGGGAAAAAAAAGCAUUUUCUGGGCCAAAUAUAAUAAACAAGGCCACAAAGCUCCUCAUGAUUACUCAUUAGCUAAGGGAAAAGGGAGCUGCGAGUUGGUACGCUUGGCAUAACGCUACACAGAGCGGAGGAGAACAGCAUCUCGUUCUCGUUUGCGGGUAACAAGAAAGAAAAAAAAGCCAAAUGGUCUUUUUCAAGUAGGGGAAGAGCUCUCCUGAGCGCGCAUCCCCAGCCUGUAUUUGCACUGCUCCCUUCAUUUUAACUGAGUGCUGCGGGUCAAUGGGAACCCUUUCAAGUUACAACUGCGUGAUAUGCCCAGCCUAUAAUGGGAAGCCGGUGGGGUUGGUUUGAUUUUUUUUUUUUUUGUUUAAGUGGCUGAUUGAGUUCUCUUUGUUUUGUUUGGUGUGUGGUGCCCAACGUAGCCCGGUGCAUUAGUCAGGAAAAUCAAUAGCCGCUUCAGAGGGGAAAUGUAGAGGCGGAACCUGGGGACUGGGCUCAGAGGCACAGGCGAGGAGCGGGGAAGGAAGGAGGGGAACACUGCGAGGCAAGGGGGGGCUGAGCCUCUGCUGAGCCCCCGCAGGCGAGACCCUCCCGCAGGGCACCGGCUGCAAGUUUUGCACCUUCAAGGCGCGAGUCUGGCAGGCAAGCAUCCGUUUUAAGUUAUUUUAAGUUGAGUUUAAGGCUUUAGGCUUCUCCUGGGUCAGAUCUGAAAGCCCGGCUGCAAAUCAAAGGCCGGGGCUCCUACUCAUUUACACCCUUUUCAUAUAUGCCGAAGCCAAAGCCAGAAGCUUUAAGAGCUCAAGCGUCUCCAGGCUCGCUAGACUUGCAGUUGCACUGCAGUAUGAUUUUUCUUUCCAGAGGCUGACACUGAUGGUUACCAGACGAGAGUUAGCGAGCCCGUGCAACCCUUCGAUGUGCACUGCAUCGCCCGUCUCCUCUGUAAAGGGGGACAAAGACUGAGCCACCGACACCACCCUCGAGCCGGGAGACCCAUGCACAUACUCGGGGCAUGAGGUAAUGGACUUCAAGGCACACAUCUAACGUAUAGCUUGUAAAUGAUUAGCCCUCAUCUAAUGAAGCUCGGAUUUGCUGAUGAUGCAUUAGCCAACGAGCGUAUGGCCUUCCUGACUCCAGACAGCUCCUUACUCGUGCAUUGCUGGGUCUCCUGGGAAAUCCGAGGUGAAAAGCCCGUAUUUCAGAGCCACCCUUCACAGACCUGGCCUGAAGCGCGGGGCGGCGGGCGCCGCUGCGGUCACGGCGCGCGCUGCGAGCACCCCUCAGGUCAGGCGCCUCCCAGACGGGACACGGCAGCACCCCCGCUCCAGCAGCUGCUUCACCUGCACCGCCAAGAACCCCCCACACCUCUGCCGUGAGCUGCCUCCCAAAAACCCGAGCCCCAACUCCCCCCUGGACUUUUUUUGUACGAGUAGGAACUGGGAGCUAAAUCAAUCGAUUCCCAGCUCUCUGUACCAGGCCGCUUACCAUGCCCUGCUUUCCUUUGAACCUUCCCUGCUCUGAAGAAAGAAGUCGGACUAAUCUAUAAAAAUAUUUUGGAUGCUGUGUUUGGCAGGCCUGGAUUUCUGCCUUUUUCUUGUCCUCCCCGAUUGACACAGGUGUCUAAGAAUAGUUUACAUUUGAUAGCGGUGUCAUUAAUAACGAUGUAGCCGGCGCUGCUUGGUGCUUCUCCGCAUGCACAGGGACACGUUGCCUCUUUAAACCUCCACCUCCUUUGUUGCGGAGCACAGAGGCUCUCCGUGCGGGUUACGGGCGAGCUCUCAUCUGGCGGGGGAUGUUUGCUAAUCAGGCUGGUGGCUGCAGUGAGGCAGUGAUCCGAUUUGGUGAUAAUUAGGCUCCAGUAGCUACGUCUUCGGGCAACCGUGGCGCAGCUGAAUCCUCCUCGCUGCUGCUGCUGUCGCCAGCCAGGGGCCUGAACUGCAAAGCGGGGCGCGCGCGGGGAUGCCAGGGACGGAGCGGCUGCACGCCCGCGCUCGGGGCGGGUCGGGGAGGGCUUCAGCAGCAAGCAGCCAGCGGAAAGGGAGAUGGGGAGCAAAG